AUGGCGUGCGUCGACAUCCAUGGCAUGAGCGUGACGCUCACGUUGGUGGACCAGCUGUCGCACGCCGUGAAGAAGAGAUCCGCCGACGAGAAUCUUGUCCUCGCCGACGAGUCCGAGGCCAGUGGAUGGUCUUCGGCGGUCUCCGACCGCAGGCUCGCCCUGCGCCGCCGGCGAGGUCCGGCUUCCUCUUCCUGCCGCCGCGGCUGCAUCGUGGUGACGGAGGGGCCGGACUGCCGUGCCGAGGAGGCGGUUCAGCAGGUUGUGCUGGGAGAAAUCGAAGGCGCCCAGCUAGCUGCACCGGAGAUCAAGGCUUCCUCUGUUGAGGAGCUGGUCUACUGGACAGUACUCUAA
rnacentral:rRNA from 1 species